rnacentral:rRNA from 1 species
AUUGAACGCUGGCGGCAGGCUUAACACAUGCAAGUCGAGCGGGGGAAGGUAGCUUGCUACCGGACCUAGCGGCGGACGGGUGAGUAAUGCUUAGGAAUCUGCCUAUUAGUGGGGGACAACAUCUCGAAAGGGAUGCUAAUACCGCAUACGUCCUACGGGAGAAAGCAGGGUAUCUUCGGACCUUGCGCUAAUAGAUGAGCCUAAGUCGGAUUAGCUAGUUGGUGGGGUAAAGGCCUACCAAGGCGACGAUCUGUUGCGGGUCUGAGAUGAUGAUCCGCCACACUGGGACUGAGACACGGCCCAGACUCCUACGGGAGGCAGCAGUGGGGAAUAUUGGACAAUGGGGGGAACCCUGAUCCAGCCAUGCCGCGUGUGUGAAGAAGGCCUUAUGGUUGUAAAGCACUUUAAGCGAGGAGGAGGCUACUUUAGUUAAUACCUAGAGAUAGUGGACGUUACUCGCAGAAUAAGCACCGGCUAACUCUGUGCCAGCCGCCGCCGUAA